UUCCAGACUCCUACGGGAGGCAGCAGUGGGGAAUAUUGCACAAUGGGGGAAACCCUGAUGCAGCGACGCCGCGUGAGCGAUGAAGUAUUUCGGUAUGUAAAGCUCUAUCAGCAGGGAAGAAGAUGACGGUACCUGACUAAGAAGCCCCGGCUAACUACGUGCCAGCAGCCGCGGUAAUACGUAGGGGGCAAGCGUUAUCCGGAUUUACUGGGUGUAAAGGGAGCGUAGACGGCGGCGCAAGCCAGAUGUGAAAGCCCGGGGCUCAACUCCGGGACUGCAUUUGGAACUGUGUGGCUGGAGUGUCGGAGAGGCAGGCGGAAUUCCUAGUGUAGCGGUGAAAUGCGUAGAUAUUAGGAGGAACACCAGUGGCGAAGGCGGCCUGCUGGACGAUGACUGACGUUGAGGCUCGAAAGCGUGGGGAGCAAACAGGAUUAGAUACCCUAGUA
rnacentral:rRNA from 1 species